AUGGGGCAGUGUCUCCAGAUGGUGCAGGGGGCUGCCAUCCUUGGCCGAUUUGCCCGGCUGGCGCAUGCCACGGACAGAGACUGUGAAGCGAAGGAUGUGGUUUUGAGUUGGUGCCACGAGCUCUGCAUGUCUUGUGGCAGGGAAGAGGCCAGUGAGCGUUGCCUUCGGACACCCAYGUCUGUACCUACCCUGAGGGACUGCCAGCAGCAGGGACGUCUCUGCCCCACUGCCACCCCAAGCCUGCCCAGAAGGUCAGAGAGGAAGGAUUGCUGCUUUGUCCGUAUUUCCAUUACCCCUUCAUGGCUUGGCACUUCACCUGGCACCAUACGGGGCUCGGGGGCACCAUGCCAGCCGUCCCAGCACCACGAGGGGCAGAAGCUCUGCUUUGUGCUUUACCUGUGUUUGAUUUCUGUCCCCGGCACUGCCCACGGAAUUUCACCAGGGACCUUGAACCUGCGAGAGACAGGCGUCUUGGCCCUACUAGCCGCAUACUGCCUGGACACUUUUCUGCCAGGUAGAGCGGUCUGGGCCUCCGGACRCAGUCUGAGCCCGCAGGUGCCUCGCGGCCAUGGCUGCCUGCUGCACGCUGCCAGCCAGGCAGCCCUGAGGACUCGCUCACCCAACGCACAGCUCUGCGUGCCAGCCCAGCUCCACGCGGUGCCUGGCUCUGUGCCUUGCCCAGCGCCGGUGCCCAGCUCCAGCACUCGCCUGCCCCAGCCUAGCUCUUUGUCCUUCCUUUUUCUGCACCCUCUCCUGCUGCAGGGAGGCACCAACUACCCUGGCUCUCUCUGGGGGCCAUGGGCACAUGGCUCCAUCCCUGAGGCUGGGCACCGGCACCCUCCCAAAGGGGCACGUGGUGGGGCAGAGGGGCAUUUCACAGGGUAUUUCACAUGCUGGCACCAGCUGUUUCUCCCCUCUGCCUCCAGCCAUGUCCCUCCUCCCAGCGCCCCUCACCUGCCCUCCUGCCUGCCCUCACCUCCCUCGUCUGCAUCUGUGUGCCCUGUCGAGGCAUUGCCCAACUGCUGUGCCACCCUUCUGGUGUCUCCCCUUCCUUUUCUCCCUUGCCUCAGCAUUCAUCUCUUAGAGCCUCAACAUCCAUCCCAGUAUGGGAGCCACCUGCGCUGCUUUCCACGUUGGUUUACUGGCAGGACUGGGAGAGGGAGGAGCCACCCCCCCCCCCAGGAUGGUUUUUGA
rnacentral:lncRNA from 1 species